rnacentral:miRNA from 1 species
ACCUCAUUGACAGGAGGAGAGUCCUUCCAGUCAAUGAGGAAGCUCAACCUCAUCAACUGGAAGGGAUUCCUUCCGGUUGAUGAGGAGGCUAUACCUCAUUGACUGGAAGGAAUCCCUUCCAGUCAAUGAGAAAGCU